rnacentral:rRNA from 1 species
UUUCCUACGGGUGGCUGCAGUGGGGAAUAUUGCACAAUGGGGGAAACCCUGAUGCAGCCAUGCCGCGUGUGUGAAGAAGGCCUUCGGGUUGUAAAGCACUUUCAGCGAGGAGGAAAGGUCAGUAGCUAAUAUCUGCUGGCUGUGACGUUACUCGCAGAAGAAGCACCGGCUAACUCCGUGCCAGCAGCCGCGGUAAUACGGAGGGUGCAAGCGUUAAUCGGAAUUACUGGGCGUAAAGCGCAGGCAGGCGGGUGGAUAAGUGAGAUGUGAAAGCCCCGGGCUCAACCUGGGAAUUGCAUUUAAAACUGGCCAGCUAGAGUCUUGUAGAGGGGGGUAGAAUUCCAGGUGUAGCGGUGAAAUGCGUAGAGAUCUGGAGGAAUACCGGUGGCGAAGGCGGCCCCCUGGACAAAGACUGACGCUCAGGUGCGAAAGCGUGGGGAGCAAACAGGAUUAGAUACCCUAGUAGUCGC